rnacentral:rRNA from 1 species
GAUGAACGCUGGCGGCGUGCCUAAUACAUGCAAGUCGAGCGAACAGACGAGGAGCUUGCUCCUCUGACGUCAGCGGCGGACGGGUGAGUAACACGUGGAUAACCUACCUAUAAGACUGGGAUAACUUCGGGAAACCGGAGCUAAUACCGGAUAAUAUAUUGAACCGCAUGGUUCAAUAGUGAAAGACGGUUUUGCUGUCACUUAUAGAUGGAUCCGCGCCGCAUUAGCUAGUUGGUAAGGUAACGGCUUACCAAGGCAACGAUGCGUAGCCGACCUGAGAGGGUGAUCGGCCACACUGGAACUGAGACACGGUCCAGACUCCUACGGGAGGCAGCAGUAGGGAAUCUUCCGCAAUGGGCGAAAGCCCGACGGAGCAACGCCGCGUGAGUGAUGAAGGUCUUCGGAUCGUAAAACUCUGUUAUUAGGGAAGAACAAAUGUGUAAGUAACUAUGCACGUCUUGACGGUACCUAAUCAGAAAGCCACGGCUAACUACGUG